rnacentral:rRNA from 1 species
UACGGGGGGAGCAAGCGUUGUUCGGAUUUACUGGGCGUAAAGCGUGCGUAGACGGUUAUUUAAGUCAGGUGUGAAAGCCCAGGGCUCAACCUUGGAAUUGCAUUUGAGACUGAAUAGCUAGGGUGCGGAAGAGGGAAGCGGAAUUUCCGGUGUAGCGGUGAAAUGCGUAGAUAUCGGAAGGAACACCAGUGGCGAAAGCGGCUUCCUGGUCCAGCACCGACGUUCAGGCACGAAAGCGUGGGGAGCAAACAGG